CACAACGUUAGCAACAAACAAAUCUGUUAACUGCAAAGGCAGAUGGAAGUGUGGAACAAAACAGGCCGGCAGAGCUGAUGGAGAAAAUGAUUCCCACCAUCUACUUCCAUCCCCUGGACAGAAAGAAGGAGAGGGAGAAACUAUGCCCACACCUGAGGCCAGCCUCCCUCCUCACCUCUUCAUCCUGCUCUCCUACACGCCUCUGCCUCUUAUGAAUAAGAUAUUCUCACUCGUUUUUCACACGCUGAGAGUUUAUCUUGCUUCAGAGGAGCAACAGCAGGUAAACACUGACCCCCUCAGCUGUAUCAUCCCCUGCUGACCCCCCCUUUGACAAAGUGGACCUUUGAACCCACCUCAUGAUGAAAAAUG